UACGUAGGCAGCGAGCGUUGUUCGGAGUUACUGGGCGUAAAGAGUGCGUAGGCGGUUUUCUAAGUUUGGUGUGAAAUCUCCCGGCUUAACUGGGAGGGUGCGCCGAAAACUGGAAGGCUUGAGUAUGGGAGAGGGAUGCGGAAUUCCAGGUGUAGCGGUGAAAUGCGUAGAUAUCUGGAGGAACACCGGUGGCGAAGGCGGCAUCCUGGACCGGCAUUGACGCUGAGGCGCGAAAGCCAGGGGAGCAAACGGG
rnacentral:rRNA from 1 species